rnacentral:rRNA from 1 species
GAUGAACGCUGGCGGCGUGCCUAAUACAUGCAAGUCGAGCGAACAGACGAGGAGCUUGCUCCUCUGACGUUAGCGGCGGACGGGUGAGUAACACGUGGAUAACCUACCUAUAAGACUGGGAUAACUUCGGGAAACCGGAGCUAAUACCGGAUAAUAUAUUGAACCGCAUGGUUCAAUAGUGAAAGACGGUUUUGCUGUCACUUAUAGAUGGAUCCGCGCCGCAUUAGCUAGUUGGUAAGGUAACGGCUUACCAAGGCAACGAUGCGUAGCCGACCUGAGAGGGUGAUCGGCCACACUGGAACUGAGACACGGUCCAGACUCCUACGGGAGGCAGCAGUAGGGAAUCGGCCGCAAUGGGCGAAAGCUUGACGGAGCAACGCCGCGUGAGUGAUGAAGGUCUUCGGAUCGUAAAACUCUGUUAUUAGGGAAGAACAAAUGUGUAAGUAACUAUGCACGUCUUGACGGUACCUAAUCAGAAAGCCACGGCUAACUACGUG